GAUGCAGGACAACUGCAGGAAGGAGAGGGAAGGGGGAAGAAGAGGAGGGGGGAGAAGAGGAGGAGGGGAAAGAAGGAGGAAGAAGAAGAUAGGGAGGCUAAUUUUCUUUCAUCAUUCAUCCAAAAACCUAAACAUGAGGGUGAACCCAUAUAAAUGGGGUCACAAAAUAACAAAUAGAUCCCUACAAAUAAAACAAUCCCGAAAAGGCCCUAAAAUGACAAUAUGCAAAUAAAUCCAAUCAACAUAAAAUAAAUCUAACUAAAAUAAAUCAAUCUAAAAUAAAAUCAGGCUGGCUGAAUCGGCUGGGAUCCGCUGAGCUGGCUGGAUCCUUAGCGACCGGCUGACCUGGCACUGGUGUCCGCACCAACUCUCCUCGGGUGGAAAGAAGUCGACCUCGACGCAAGUGGCUCGGUAAAGCCCCGGUAGUACUCCAACAAGUCGGGGUCAAUCAAUGGUCUCUCCUCGUGCUGGAUCCAAGUAUAACCGGACUUUGGUCGUCCACGCCAACGAACCAGAGAACGCU
rnacentral:lncRNA from 1 species